GCUGGGCGCGGUGGUGUGUGCCUGUAGUCCCAGCUACUCGGGAGGCUAAGGCUGGAGGAUCGCUUGAGCCCAGGAGUUCUGGGCUGUAGUGCACUAUACCGAUCGGGUGUCCGCACGAAGUUCGGCAUCAAUACGGUGACCUCCCGGGAGCGGGGGACCGCCAGGUUGCCUAAGGAGGGCUGAACUGGCCCAGGUCGGAAACGGAGCAGGUCAAAACUCUGUGAUCAGUAGUGGGAUCGCGCCUGUGAAUAGCCACUGCAUUUCAGCCUGGGCAACAUAGCGAGACCCCAUCUCU
rnacentral:SRP_RNA from 1 species